CAGGUCCAAGUCUCAAAGGACCCUCUGGGACAACCGAGAUGCAAUUUUACUGUCUGGGAUGUGGUCAUGCCUCGGAAAUGUUUGGCUUCAUUAAGGAUGUGUUCAUAUCUUGUGCGAAUGAAUGGGGUGAGGAGACCCUGAUAAAAGAGCUUGAUUAUGUUCGGAAAAUCUUCCAAGGGAGUGAAGAUUUUAAAGGCAAGGAGUUACAUGUUAAGGCAGAUGUCUUGCAUACAAAGCUAGCUACAAAGAUGAUUUCCCCUUCAGACGCCUGCAAUUUUAUAUUUCAGUUUUUCAGCGGUAAGUAUACAAACCAAUUCAUUUUAUCUUAUUUGCAUAAGAACAAGUCUUUAUUUUACAAUGUUCUGGUUUUCCUUAUGUUAUACUCAUUCCUAUUUUUUAUUUUUGGUGCACAAACCAUGAAAGGGAAUAUUAAGUUAGAAAUAGUUGCUACCUAAAUCGUUAUAUUAAUUCCGUUUGAAAUGGUUGUGUUGGUAUAUAUACAAUUAACCAUGCGUUUAGAUAACCACAAUUGACAGUAGGGGCAGUGAGAUGUCAUUCUCUGACUUCUGUCUUGCAUUUGUCAACUUGAAUAUUACUGAAUCCCCUUGUAGCUCGCUUACAGUUACUAGAAAUCUAUAGUCUAUGGGUGAUAAUAGAUGGACCUUUACUAGCCUAACCCUAGAAGCUAGCUCAUGAGGUUAGAAUUAUUUGAUAUCAUAUAAGAAGACCAAUUCCACAUUACACAAUCGAUCUGGGCACAUAUCUUCCCCCAACUUGCCAACUGGAGUGUGGACAACAUAAUUGGGGACCCAACACCGGGUAAACCUAGAGUUUGGGAUGUGCUUGACUCUAAUGCCAUAAUAAGGAAAUAUGGAUCUUGAGAAAAACUCAACCCUGAAAGCUAGCGGAUAAGUUGAGCAUUGUGUAAGACCAUACAAGGAAACCAAUUCCACAUCCCACAAUCGGUAUGGGACACUUAGCAAUGGGCAAGUUUAUUAAAUUGUUCAUGGUUUUUUACUUCAAGAAUGAUUUAUUUCCUAGUAGCAAUUUGUGAUAAAUGUUCUAUUUUCCUACUUAUAGGCCUGAAUUUUUUCUAUUUUCAAGUAUUGCGCUUCUUUAACCUCUAUGAAUUUAAAAGAAUUAGAGAUUCUCAACGGAAACACUUUUCCCAGUCUCCCUUAGUUCCUUAGCGUCCACUACAUGUUUCAUUGACACAAAACGUGUCAUUUCUUAACUAAUUAUAUUUUUCUUUAAUUAACAGGCAAUAACGAAUUGCCAAACUUAAGUAAUCGCUAUUCUUGGAAAGCUUGUAGUUACUGAUUUUCCUGCCUCUACUUUUCUUAUUCCCAAUUCCUCAUUCUAUGACAUGAACUUUUCAAGCAGACAAAAAGAUAUGAGGCCUUUUGAUCCUUUUAUAAAUGAUUUUAACGCUUCUUUCACAGCUAUCAAAACGAUUGAAGAUGAACGGUCAGUGAAACGAUCGAAGAAAGAUGAGGUCGAUGGCUUGGGAAGCAUUGUACGCAUCAAAGAAUUAGAGGCACAACUGUUUCAGAGUCGUGCAGCUGAUGCACGAGGAGAGGCAGUGAGUUUAAGGCGGUUGGCUCGGCUGGAGAGUAAGAAACUGAACGAAAUGUAUUAUGAAAAACUCUCCAAAUUGCGCUUGCAGGAAACGGAGGAAAGGAGGAGGAAAAAAUUGGAAGAGCUUAAAACCUUGGAGAAUUCUCAUUCCUGUUAUUGUGAGAUGAAGAUGAAAUUGGAUACGGAGGUUGCAUGCUUAUUAAACAAAAUGGAAGCCGUCAAACGGCUAUUGGUAUAGCAUAAUCUCUUGUCAGUUUCUCUAGUAAUUGUGAUAGCUACUUAGUUUCCUUGUUGCAAAUAUUUAAUAGUAAAUGGUUGGUGAACUAUUAUAAGUCUUUGAAAUACCUUUAAGUUACAAUGUUUGGUUCAUUUGUUUUUUCCAUAUAAAACUUAGCAUUAUUCAAUACAAUGUUUGGUUUUAGUUUUCUUUUCCGCAUGACUAAUACAUGUAUAAGGUAUGCUGGAAUCUAUUUAUUAUUUUAUAUGCAGGAUAGUGUAUGGAAUAAGAAUGCGAGGAUUAAUAAUAAAUCGGGCGUAAUUACUAAUCUUGUAUAAGGUACGAUGAAAUCUAUAUAUUAUUUUAUGUAGGAUAGUAUAUUGAAUAAGAAUAUGAGGAUUAGUAAUAACCUGUGCUUUACUAAUCCUCGCAUAACUUGCUUCUAAACCAAGUGAUCCUUCAAAUAGUUGACUAUUUCCUUUUUAGCUCAGUGGUUUAUUGUUAUGAAAUUUGUGUUGAUGUUCACUUUGGGAUUUGGAAAACCAUAUGCUAUAUUACCUUUGGCACAGUUGGAGUCUUGAUGUUCAGAAGUAUUGAACUUACUAUCUAACACUGCCACAUUUUGUAGGAGUUUUUAGAGUUACAUGUAUGUUUUCCCAAAAUAUUACUUAUUCCGUCCCAAUUUAUGUAAUGCACUUUAACUGAGAUCGGAGACGGAUUCAAAAUUUGAUAGGUUCUGGAGUAUAUUAUAUAUACAUAUUUAGUGAUUUUUUCAACAAAUAUAUUAGGAUUGGACCGAAGUUAUUAAGUUUUGUCGAGCCUGUAUUUCCCAUGCUAGCUCCGACCUUGACUCAGACGAAGUUUAAGAAAGAAAAAAUACUUUUGAAAUUUGUGGUCUAAAACAAACCAUAAAUAUUUGUAUGACUAUAAAUUAUCUCAUUAAGGAUAAAAUAAAAAGUUUAAAAGUUAGAUUUCUAAACGUAGAAAAAUUUCCUUCUUUUGGUAUAGACUAAAAAAGAAAAUAUAUCACAUAAAGAAGCUUAGAGAAACUUAGAUUCUGAUUCUGAUCAAAAUAUCUGUGCAUUAGAUGCAUAUAUAUAUUAGUGAUUACAUUUCUGAUUCUGAUUCUGAACAACUUAUCCCCGCAUUCUUAUUCAAUACACUAUCCCACAUAAAAUAAUAUAUAGUUUCUAGCAAGGAAGUGAUUAGGCUAUACCAGUAGUUGUUUAGCUGCUUCCAUUCUGUUUAAUAAGCCUGCUAUCUCCAUAUCUGUUCUCAUUUACAUAUAAUUAUAAUCGAAAUGAGCAUUCUCAAAAGGUCUUAAUUGCUCCUCCUUUCCUCUGGUUCUUGCAAGCACAAUUUGGAGAGUUUUUCAUAAUACGCUUUGUUCAGUUUCUUACUCUCCCGCCAAGCCAACCACUUUAAACUCACUGCCUCUCCUCGUGCAUCAUCUGCACAACUCUGAAACAUUCGUGUCUCUGCUUCUUUGAUGUGUACAAUGCUUCCAAAGCUAUUGGCCUCAUCUUUCUUCGAUCGUUUCACUGACCAUUGAUCUUCAACGUUUUCAUAGUUGUGAAAGAAGUGUUAAUAUUAUUUGGACAAGGAUCAACAGGUCUCAUAUCUUUUUGUUCGCUUGAAGAGCUUGUGUCAUAGAAUUUGGAUUUGGGAAUAAGGGAGGUCGAUGCAGUAAGAUCAGUAACUGCAUGUUUUCCAAGACUAGUUGGAUUACUAAAGUCUGACAGUCCGUCGCUGCCAGUUAAUUAAAGAAAAUAUAAAUUAGUAAAGAAAUGACAUGUUUUGUGUCAAUGAAACAUGAAGUGGACGCUGAAGAACUAAGGUGGGAAAAGUGUUUCCGCUGAUACUCUCUAAUUCUUCUUAAUUCAUAGAGGUUAAAGAAGAGCAAUAAUUGAAAAUUGAAAAAAUUCAAUACGCUUAUAAGUAGGAAAAUAGAACAUUAAACACAAAUUGCAACUGGGAAAUAAUUCCUUCUGUAAGUACAAUACCAUGUACAAUUGAAUAAAUUUGCCCAUUGCUAAGUGUCCCACACCGGUUGAGGGAUGUAUAAUUGGUUUACUUAAAGGGUCUUGCACCAUCAGCUAGCUUUUGGGGUUAAGUUUUUCCCAGGAUCCAUUUUUUUUACAAAAUUGUCAAAUCUUGUUUCCUAUUAUGGGGUAAUUUUUAUAAUACUUCCUCCAUCUCAAAAUUAUCUGUGGUAUGUCUCUUUUACCUUCCCUUUAAGAAAUCAUUAAUUAAAAGGUUUUUAUUUUUACUAUUUUAUUCUCAUCUAUGUCUUAAGAUAUAAUUUCUCUUCGUUAAAUAAUUAUUCGGGUGUUUAUAGUCUUCAAGAAGCCUAUAGUCUAUGGGCAAGUUAAUUAAAUUGUUCAUGGUGUUUGUAUUUGUUAGAAUGAUUUAUAUCCUAGUUGUAUUUUGCAUAUAUGUUCUAUUUUCCUACUUAUAAGCAUGCUGAAUGUUUUUCAUUCUUCUUGUAGUCAUACUUCUAUAAACUCUUGAACGAAGAGAGGGACAUAGACAUUGUGCUGGGGAUUUGGAGCACUCAGAGAAGCAUCACAAUUGUUGGUAUUGUAGGUGUAUAAAUGUUGAGGAGGGUGCUUUUCGUAGGAUGCGUAUGGCUAGAACGAUCGGGCCGACGAGAUCCCAGUGGAAUUUUGGAAGAGCACAGGCUGGGUAGGUAUGGUGCGGCUGUCUAAGUUGUUUUCAAGACGGCGAGGGUGCCCGAUGCAUGGAGUACAAUGAUUCCGUUGUUCAAGAACAAGGGUGACUUUUAGAAUUUUUACAACUAUAGGGGUAACAAGCUGUUAAACCACACUAUGAAUGCGUGGUAGAGAGUGGUGGAGAUGAGGGUGAGGAGGGAUGUGGCUAUUUUCGAGAACCAGAUCGGAUUCAUGCCGGGGCACGCUACUACAUAAAUCAUUUGUCUCGUAAGGAGGGAGGAAGUAGGACUUUCAUAUGCUUAGAAGCUAGCUCAAGAUAUAUUCUUUUGGAAAUUGGUUUUGUGCUUCAAGGAGAGAUCAAUAACUGAGAUAAUCUGUCAGGAAAGAGUUGUAGUGACAAAUUACACAGUUAUACUUGCAUAUAUUAGAAAGGUCACAUUCUUGAGAUGUCUACAGGAGGAAUCAACUUGCUAUAGGUAAAAAAAGGUUUAUCUGUACGAUUAGAGUCAGUUACCUCAUAUUUUUCUUCUUAUUAGCAGAGUAGGUGAGGCUUCUGGUCUUGAUAUCCUUGAGUUUAUAUAUAUUCCAGUAACUAACCUCAGAGGUUCUUGGUGAGUUUAAAAAUGACGUCGGUGGUCGGUCCUUCUGAUGCACUAUGUUAUUCCUGAGUACCACUUUCUUAUGUGAACAUUAGUAUAAUGCUAGACUCGUGUAGAUCUACUGAUUUGGCACGGCGAAAUUUUCUUGGUUAUACAAUUGUACACUCAUGACUCAACUGAGCAUAAUUUUGGCUUCUGCACACACACAUAUAAAAAAAUGCUACUUUUUUUACGAAUGCCUCAUGCUACAACCCCUCUCUUGGAGCUGCCAAUAUAAGUUGACUACCAAUUACGUAUCUUAAGACGUCUUAUUAAGAGAAUACAACAGUACACUUGCAUAAACUUCAGACUUCUAUUUUUCCCAUGCAUCAUCUAGUCAUCAUUAUGUGCUCAAGAACUGCUUUUAGCUGUCUUUUGAUGUUGAUCUGUGUUCAUGUCAUCAGCACAUGAAAAAUGCUUACCUGUGCUCCGAUAUGGUGGUGGUAACCUUGACAAAUGGUGAGUCGAAACGUGUUGAAGCUAUCUGAUCAAGAGACACAUUAAGAGAAGCAAUGGAAGUGUUAAGAAACAUGUUUGGGCCUGACAUUCUCAAUACCACUGACAUAUUAGUCCCACGUUGGUGGAAUAAUCGGUUUCAGCAUGGUAGCUAUACAGUAAUUACCUCAUAUAUGCAAAUCAUCAACUUGUCCAUGAUAUUAAGGUUAGCAAUCUUCUUCUUUUCUCGUUUGACAAUAGUAAUUUUACAGUGUCCAAUCUAAACAAAUUUACAUAAUUUUGAAUUAUUGACACGAGACUGUAUUGACAAUCUUGAUUAAGUUGUGCAAUUGUGUCAUUUGCGAGUCCUUUAUGUCAAGAUUACAUAGAACAGGAUCGUCUUCACCAGUAUAGUGACCAUUGUUCAGAGACUACAACUAGUAUAUGUGAGACUAGAAAAUGCCAAUGAAUCGAUGUGAAAUCGAUAGAAUGAGACUUCUCAUUGAGCUGUAGGCUUUAAGAAGUCCCACAUCGGGGAAUGGAUGGGAAAUUGAUCUCCUUAUAUGGACUUGGACAAACCUCCCGUCAUGAGAUAGCUUUUGGGGUUGAGUUAGACCCAAAUGCCAUAUCUUUACGGUAGUAGCACAUAUUGUUGUGUUGAUUGCUGAUAUACACGAUUUUAUUUAAAACCCAAUGAUAAUUUAAGUUCUGGACUUCAACGCGCUAAACAUGUUACUGAUUUCUUAGAGUAUUUUGCAUGAGAUAAUUGAGGGAAAAUAGAGGGAAAGAAUGAACAAAAAAAUAGAUACUCAAAAUAAAAAAUCUCUGGAGAAAAUAAUCACUAUCAGAUUCCAUCUAACAAACUACUUUGAAAUUAUCCUCAGACAUAACAAACCAUUUUUGUCAUUUUGCUAGUGUCUAUCUGUAAAGACAGAUAGGAUUUUGCUUUAGUAUAAAAAAGGUGUGAAAAUAUUUUUACCCAGAGAGAAAUUCAGAGGACAAAUUUCUGAAGUUCUUCCUUCCAAUCUGUCAGUUUUUUAACCUCUCUGCAAUUUUUAUUCUUCUAGAUAUAAUGGUUAGUGGUCAGUCAGAUGCUUUGAGAGGAAGAGGUUCGGGAUAUUUGAAACGUUAUGGAGGAAAUGCACAUAAGCUUGCUAGGCAAGAGAAUUGCGGAAAAGGAACUAUUCGAUCAGUUCAUAGCAGGUUUAGGCCAAUUGGUGACGGUGGUGUUGCAUUGUCAAACCAUGUUGGUGGAACAUGGUUUGACAGUCGAGUGGUCAAUAAGGAAACAUGUAGUGAUCGUAUUCAUAGGACUACAAGCUCGGAUAACAAUUCAAUUUUCCUAUCCGACUUGUCUGCAAGGCCUAGAGUUGUUGACGGUCAGUCAAGGGAUUCGAGGAAAAGAGGCUCGGGAUAUUUGAAACUUUUGGAGAAAAGGGAUGGAGGAAAAGCAUACGAGGUUUCUAGGCAACAGAAAUUACUUAGAAGAAUAGUGUCAGAGCCUAUUCCUCUUAUGGCUCAGAUUGUGCAACAGCUUGAUGACGAAACAGUUGAAUCAACAAAAGAAUACUUGAGUAACCUAAUAACAAUGCCGGAAAGGAUAUAUGAGUUCAUUAGUCUUCAAAACAGACUCGAUGAGAGAUCUGAUCUUACCAAUCGGACUCUCUUGAACUGCCAUAAGAUCCAACUAGAAUUUUUGGUUUCAAUAAGAACAGGUCUUGGAAGCUUCUUAUCGAAAAACACCCGCCUUCUAACAUCAGAAUUGGUUGAAAUUUUCUUACUUGAAAGGUGUCGAAACAUUAAUUGCAGGAGGCUUUUGCCUAUUGAGGAUCGCGGUUGCAAGAUUUGUUCAACGAAGAAGGGAUUCUGCAGCGAAUGCAUGUGUCUUGUGUGUCUGAAAUUCGACUGUGCCAAUAAUACUUGCAGUUGGGUAGGGUGUGAUGCAUGCUUGCAUUGGUGUCAUGCUGUUUGUGGUAUUCGUCAAAAUCUUAUAAAGCCAGGUCCAAGUCUCAAAGGACCCUCCGGGACAACCGAGAUGCAAUUUUACUGUCUGGGAUGUGGUCAUGCCUCGGAAAUGUUUGGCUUCAUUAAGGACGUGUUCAUGUCUUCUGCAAAUGAAUGGGGUGAGGAGACCCUGAUGAAAGAGCUUGAUUAUGUUCGGAAAAUCUUCCAAGGGAGUGAAGAUUUUAAAGGCAAGGAGUUGCAUGUUAAGGCAGAUGUCUUGCAUAC
rnacentral:lncRNA from 1 species